CUCCCCGAACAGCUGUACCAUCGACCAGUCACACAGCAGGUAAAAUAAAAAGCUGGACUGAGGUGUUUCAUAAACAUUUAUUCAGACAGAAUUGAAAUGAACGUGACAAUCAUGUGAUGUUUCUUCAAUAACUCAGGAACUUAAGCCAGCCCCGCCUGCCUCCAGGAGCCGGAGGCGGUGGAAGAGCCGGGGGAGUUGGAGGAGCAGGAGCAGCCGGGGCCAUCCAGUACCCAUUCGGUGCGUCCUGUGGGACCGAGGGUUCUGACGGAGGCAGUACUACAAAAGCAACAAGACCCCACGAAAGCAAUAAUUGAAAUAAAGGAGCAGCUCACCAACAUAGCAAAUACUUUGAUGCAAAUAAAUGAGCCACUUAAACAGAUCGCUGCAUGCGCCUCACAAAUGUUGUCCAAAUAAACUUUGAAAUGUUGAAAUUAUUUGUCCAUCGUAUACUUUCGAUCUGAAAUUUCUCAGUUUUCAAAGAUCGCUUUA